AUCAACUUUCGAUGGUAGGAUAGAGGCCUACCAUGGUGGUAACGGGUAACGGGGUGUUAGGGCACGACACCGGAGAGGGAGCCUGAGAAACGGCUACCACAUCCAAGGAUGGCAGCAGGCGCGCAAAUUACCCAAUCCCGACACGGGGAGGUAGUGACAAUAAAUAACAAUACGGGGUUCUUUAGGAUCUCGUAAUUGGAAUGAGUACAAUUUAAAUCUCUUAACGAGGAACAAUUGGAGGGCAAGUCUGGUGCCAGCAGCCGCGGUAAUUCCAGCUCCAAUAGCGUAUAUUAAAGUUGUUGCAGUUAAAAAGCUCGUAGUUGAAUUUCGGGGUCAGUAGGUUGGUCGUGCCACCGGUACGUACUGGUCUCACUGAUUCCUCCUUCCUGAUGAGCUGUAAUGCCAUUAAUUUGGUGUUGCAGGGAAUCUGGACUGUUACUUUGAAAAAAUUAGAGUGUUUAAAGCAGGCUAACGCUUGAAUACAUUAGCAUGGAAUAAUGAAAUAGGACGUUCGAUCCUAUUUUGUUGGUUUCUAGGAUUGACGUAAUGAUUAAUAGGGAUAGUUGGGGGCAUUAGUAUUCAAUUGUCAGAGGUGAAAUUCUUGGAUUUAUUGAAGACUAACUACUGCGAAAGCAUUUGCCAAGGAUGUUUUCAUUAAUCAAGAACGAAAGUUAGGGGAUCGAAGACGAUCAGAUACCGUCGUAGUCUUAACCAUAAACUAUGCCGACUAGGGAUCGGAUGAUGUUAAUUUUUUAAUGACUCAUUCGGCGCCUUACGGGAAACCAAAGUGUUUGGGUUC
rnacentral:rRNA from 3 species